AGUGAACGCUGGCGGUAGGCCUAACACAUGCAAGUCGAGCGGCAGCACAGUAAGAGCUUGCUCUUACGGGUGGCGAGUGGCGGACGGGUGAGGAAUACAUCGGAAUCUACUUUUUCGUGGGGGAUAACGUAGGGAAACUUACGCUAAUACCGCAUACGACCUACGGGUGAAAGCAGGGGAUCUUCGGACCUUGCGCGAUUGAAUGAGCCGAUGUCGGAUUAGCUAGUUGGCGGGGUAAAGGCCCACCAAGGCGACGAUCCGUAGCUGGUCUGAGAGGAUGAUCCGCCACACUGGAACUGAGACACGGUCCAGACUCCUACGGGAGGCAGCAGUGGGGAAUAUUGGACAAUGGGCGCAAGCCUGAUCCAGCCAUACCGCGUGGGUGAAGAAGGCCUUCGGGUUGUAAAGCCCUUUUGUUGGGAAAGAAAAGCAGCAGGUUAAUACCCCGCUGUUCUGACGGUACCCAAAGAAUAAGCACCGGCUAACUUCGUG
rnacentral:rRNA from 1 species